rnacentral:tRNA from 1 species
GCCUAGUUAGCUUAGUUGGUAGUGCGUCUGCCUUGUAAGCGCUAGGCCGCGGGUUAGAUUCCCGCCCAGGGCG